rnacentral:rRNA from 1 species
GAUAAAAGGAUUAUUAGGUUUAAAAGGUUAAUAUGAUUUAAUAGAAAUAUGGAGUAAGUUUUAUUAACAUGUGUGAAUAAAUUAAGAUUUAUUUUUAUGAUAGAUGACUAGUAUUGUGAGAGAAUUUUUUUGAAUUUUUAAAAAGAAGAAUUAAGUCUUUGUACCUUGUGUAUCAGGGUUUAUCAAAUAGAAUUUUUAAAUUUUAAAUUUCUCGAAUUUAGAAGAGCUACAAAUAUAUGAGAUUUGUUGUGGAAAAAAUAUAUUUAAUAUAUUUGUUGAAGUAAAAUGCUAAGCGAUUUUAAAUAUAUCUAGUUUUUUAAGAAAAAAAUUUAAUUUUAUUUUUAUUUACUAUAAGUUUAAUUUUUUAAUAAUAUAGUAGUAAGAUUUUAAUUUUUAGGGGAUGAGCUUUAGGAAUUAGUUACAUAAUUUUAUAAAAGGUAUUAUAGUUCUAAUUAGGAUUGUUAGUUUCUAUUUUUUUUAGUGUGUUAUUACUAGGGAUAUAAUUUUAUAAUUUUUAUUUGGUUUGUUUGGAUUAUUAAAAUAUAAAUUUAAAUUUUGAAAAUUUAGGAAUGAUGAUAAAAUUAGUAUAAUUGUUUGUAUUAAGUGAGAGUUUUAAAAGGUUUGGUAAAGGAAUUCGGCAAAUAUAUUUUUCACCUGUUUAAUAAAAACAUGGCUUGUUGAUUAUAAUUUCAAGUCUGACCUGCCCACUGAGUAGUUGAAUGGCCGCGGUAAAUUGACCGUGCAAAGGUAGCAUAAUCAUUAGUUUUUUAAUUGAAAGCUUGUAUAAAAGGUUUGAUGAGAAAAUUACUGUCUCUAUUAGAGUUUAUUGAAAUUUUAUUUUUAAGUUAAAAAGCUUAAAUUUUCAUAGAAGACGAGAAGACCCUAUAGAGUUUUACACAAGUUUUGGAAUAAAGAAUGUAAAGGAUAAAAGGUUUAGAUUUUAUAUAUUGUGUUUUAUUGGGGUGAUAGAAAAAUUAAGGGAACUUUAUUUUUAUUUAAAUAUUUAUUUAUAGGUUUUUGAUCCUAAAGUUUAGAUUAAAAGAUUAAACUACCUUAGGGAUAACAGCGUAAUUUUUCUUAGAGUUCUUAUCAAAAGAAAAGUUUGCGACCUCGAUGUUGGAUUAAAAUUUAUUAUUGGUGUAGAAGCUAGUAAGGUAGGUCUGUUCGACCUUUAAAAUUUUACAUGAUCUGAGUUUAGACCGGUGUGAGCCAGGUUGGUUUCUAUCUCUAUGAAGAUAAAAUAUUUUAGUACGAAAGGACCAGAUAUUUGAUUAAUAAUUUUAUUUUUGAAUAUUAAUAA